rnacentral:rRNA from 1 species
AGAGUUUGAUCCUGGCUCAGGAUGAACGCUGGCGGCGUGCCUAACACAUGCAAGUCGAACGAAGCUUGACGGAUGAUUUCUUCGGAAUGAAACCUGAUAUGACUUAGUGGCGGACGGGUGAGUAACACGUGAGCAACCUGCCUUUCAGAGGGGGAUAACGGCUGGAAACGGUCGCUAAUACCGCAUGAUGUGUUCGGAUGGCAUCAUCUGAACAUCAAAGAUUUAUCGCUGAAAGAUGGGCUCGCGUCUGAUUAGAUAGUUGGUGGGGUAACGGCCUACCAAGUCGACGAUCAGUAGCCGGACUGAGAGGUUGAACGGCCACAUUGGGACUGAGAUACGGCCCAGACUCCUACGGGAGGCAGCAGUGGGGAAUAUUGCACAAUGGGGGAAACCCUGAUGCAGCAACGCCGCGUGAAGGAUGACGGUUUUCGGAUUGUAAACUUCUUUUCUUAGUGACGAAGACAGUGACGGUAGCUAAGGAAUAAGCAUCGGCUAACUACGUGCCAGCAGCCGCGGU